rnacentral:rRNA from 1 species
AUUGAACGCUGGCGGCAUGCUUUACACAUGCAAGUCGAACGGUAACAGGGUGCUUGCACCGCUGACGAGUGGCGAACGGGUGAGUAAUGCGUCGGAACGUGCCGAGUAGUGGGGGAUAACGCAGCGAAAGUUGUGCUAAUACCGCAUACGUACUGAGGUAGAAAGUGGGGGACCUUCGGGCCUCACGCUAUUCGAGCGGCCGACGUCUGAUUAGCUAGUAGGUGAGGUAAAGGCUCACCUAGGCGACGAUCAGCAGCGGGUCUGAGAGGAUGAGCCGCCACACUGGGACUGAGACACGGCCCAGACUCCUACGGGAGGCAGCAGUGGGGAAUUUUGGACAAUGGGCGAAAGCCUGAUCCAGCCAUGCCGCGUGUCUGAAGAAGGCCUUCGGGUUGUAAAGGACUUUUGUCAGGGAGGAAAUCCCUAGUGCUAAUAACACUGGGGGAUGGCAGUACCUGAAGAAUAAGCACCGGCUAACUACGUGCCAGCCGCCGCAGUAA